UACGAAGGAUGCAAGCGUUACUCGGAAUUACUGGGCGUAAAGCGUGCGUAGGUGGUUUGUUAAGUCUGUUGUGAAAGCCCCGGGCUCAACCUGGGAAUGGCAAUGGAUACUGGCAAGCUAGAGUGCGGUAGAGGGUAGUGGAAUUCCCGGUGUAGCGGUGAAAUGCGUAGAGAUCGGGAGGAACACCAGUGGCGAAGGCGGCUACCUGGACCAGCACUGACACUGAGGCACGAAAGCGUGGGGAGCAAACAGG
rnacentral:rRNA from 1 species